AUCCCAUGAUGAGGACAGUUGAGUAUGUAUUCUUGGAGUCGAUCCCAAGCUUCUGGGAUGGAUUCCAUCCCUGUCUGCUGGAAACUUGUAAUGCUUCCACGUAUGGCAU